rnacentral:tRNA from 1 species
GUUUAGAUAGUUUAAUAAAAAAUUUAGGUUUGUGGAUUCUAAGAUGAAAGAUUUUCUCUAGGCU